rnacentral:rRNA from 1 species
AUUGAACGCUGGCGGCAUGCUUUACACAUGCAAGUCGAACGGCAGCGCGUGCUUCGGCCUGGCGGUGAGUGCCGAACGGGCGAGUAAUGCAUCGGAACGUGCCCAGUAGUGGGGGAGAGCCCGGCGACAGCCGGAUUAAUACCGCAUACGACCUGAGGGUGAAACCGGGGGACCGAAAGGCAUCGCGCCAUUGGAGCGCCCCCCGUCGGAUCCGCCAGAUGCCGGGGUAAAGGCCUACCCAGGCGACGCUCCGUAGCUGCUCUGAGAGGACCACCAGCCACACUGCGACUGCGACACGGCCCAGACUCCGACGGGAGGCAGCGGUGCGGACUUUUGGACAAGGGAGGCACCCCUGCUCCAGCCAUGGCGCGUGCGGGAAGAAGGCCUUCGGGUUUUAAACCGCUUUUGUUCGGGAGGAUGUUCUCUGGGCUAAUACGCCGGGGACAUGACGGUAACGGAAGAAUAAGCACCGGCUAACUACGUG